CUCUCUGCUCUGGCAAGGCAGGCGAAGACCUGAGCCUUAUCUCCGGACCCCCUCACCCCCAAUCUCCCGCCGCGCUGCUCCGCACCUACCGCGCGGCCACCGGCCUUACCUGGCCGGGUCUCGGCGAGCGAGGCUGCGCCUGGUGCUUGCGUCCAGCGAACAAACCUGUCCUCCAGCCCCCAGCCCACAGCUCCGCUCUGCCCCUCCUCCCGCCGCGCGUGCCCGCCUCCUGGCUGCCAUGGCGACAGUUCCCACACCCUGCGGCCGCUGAUUGGUCCGGUUCGCGAUUGCUGACGACGCCGAUUGGCGGGAGCAGGGACAAGGCCGCGCCGGGGAGCCUGGAGGCGGGCGGUGGGGAGCGCCGAAGCUAUGGAGCCUUGGGGGAGGCUGAGCCAGGAGGGACGUGGCGCUCUGAGAUGCAGGCUCGGGAGGCCGCGCCUCUUCCUUCCCUAGCUUUCCCGGGGAAGCCUGUGGAGCAGGACUUGCGCGGACAGCUCUUUCCUCUGCAUCCUGCCCCAGAGAACAGACAUCUAUUCCAAGCCCCUCAUUUUAAAGAUGCGGAAACUGAGGCUCAAAGAUGCACAUGGGUAGCUUGAGCCUUCCAGAAGCUUUUGGAGCCACAGGCUGUUUACGAAGUUUUAUUCUGCCGAUUAGUUUUUUUCACCUGAAAAAUUGGUAUCAUAUCUACCUUAGGGUUAUUCACGAAGAUUGAAUGAGAUAACAUUGCCAGGAAAACAGUACAGACCAGGCACGGUGACUCACCCUGUAAUGCCAGCACUUUGGGAGGCCAAGGCAGGAGGAUGGCUUGAGCUCAAAAAUUUGAGACCAAUCUGGACAACAGUGAGAUCCUAUCUCUACAAGAAUAUUUUUUUCUUUUUUAUCUUUAACACAAUGAUGUUUCAGUCUGAAGAAAAUAUUUAAAAAUUUGCCAGGUGCUGUGUCGCACAUCUGUAGUCCCAGCUACUCAGGAGGCAGAGGCGGGAGGAUCACUUGAGCUCAGAAGGCUGAGGCUGCAGCGAACCAUGAUCAUUGUGCCACAAAAAAACAAACAAACAAAAACACACAGUACAGAAUCUGCCACAUAGUGUGUUAGCAAUGAAAGCUUCUGUUAUCAGGAAGUACUACAAGCCAAUUGCCUCUGUUGCACAACUGGACUCUGUGUGCCCCUAACUGUAUAAUUUGCCAGUUAUUUAAGUGCUCUCUGCCUCCAUGUCCUUGUCUGUAAAAUGAACAUAAUAAUAGUACCCUCCUACUUACAGCAUAGCAAAUUAAUUUAAAAAGUGACUGGCACAUUGUAAAUUUUAAAUAAAUGUUAACCGUGCUCAGAUUAGUGGCUGAACUGGGACUAUAACUUAGAUCUCUAGAUUUCAACCCAAUCGUAUUUAUUUAUUUAUUUAGAGAUAGGGUCUCCCUCUGUUGCCCAGGCUGGAGUGCAGUGGCACAAUCUCAGCUCACUGCAGCCUCAACCUCGCAGGAUCAAGCAAUCCUCCCACCUCAGCCUCCCAAGUAGCUGGGACUACAAGCACACACUACCACGCCUGGCUAAUUUUUUGGCAUUUUUUUGUAGAGACGAAUUUUUGCCAUGUUAUCCAGGCUGGUCUCGAAGUCCUGGACUCAAGCAAUCUGCCUUCCUUAGCCUCUCAAAGAUUAGAAGCGUGAACUACCACACCUGGCCUCAAUUAUCUUUACUAACACUUCUCAUCCACAUACAUAGAUCAGUGCCUCAAGGUUAAGCUCCUUUUUGAGGUUCAGGAGAAGAGGACCCUCCAGCCUGGGCGACAAGAGCGAAACUCCGCCUCAAAACAAACAAACAAACAAAAAAGGGUGAACUCCUAGGAGCGGGAGACUGAUGCAGGACAGGAAAG
rnacentral:lncRNA from 1 species